rnacentral:tRNA from 1 species
GCCUGAGUGGCUCAGCCAGUUAAGCGUCUGACUUCCACUCAGGUCAUGAUCUCGCAGCUGUGAGUUCGAGCCCCGCAUCGGGCA